CAAUAGCGUAUAUUUAAGUUGCUGCAGUUAAAAAGCUCGUAGUUGGAUUUCGGGUGGGAAUGGCCGGUCCGCCGUUUCGGUGUGCACUUGCUACGCCCACCUUGCUGCCGGGGACGUGCUCUUGAGUUCACGCUCGGGACACGGAGUCGGCGAGGUUACUUUGAGUAAAUUAGAGUGUUCAAAGCAGGCCUACGCUUUGAAUACAUUAGCAUGGAAUAACACGAUAGGACUCUGGCCUAUCUUGUUGGUCUGUAGGACCGGAGUAAUGAUUAAGAGGGACAGUCGGGGGCAUUCGUAUUUCAUUGUCAGAGGUGAAAUUCUUGGAUUUAUGAAAGACGAACUACUGCGAAAGCAUUUGCCAAGGAUGUUUUCAUUAA
rnacentral:rRNA from 1 species